AUUGGUGCUAACAAGUACCUUGGUGAUUCUUGUGUUGAGCCAAGGAUGAGGACUCACAUAUCCUAAAACAUUCCUUGACUCCAUGAGUUCAGCUGCCAAUCCAGAAACAAGCAAGACUGAAAGGCAAGGUUCUCGGACAGAAUCAAACAGCAAGUGAUGAAGAGCCCUCUCUUAAAGGCCCCGGCCAGCAGCACUCAGAACACCACUCCUCCUUUCAGAAAGAAAGGACAACACCAAGAAAGAAAUGUCUCGUCGGCUCACGUCCACGGUGGAGACUGUUCCCUGCCUGAACAUACUGGAGAUUUUAACAACUGUUGAGCAGCAUUCAUGAACUCUCCUUCUCACGAGUGCAGGUCCAUUCAACAUGGAACAACUCAUGCUAAGUUGUAGAACCACCUAGAUCUCUUCGGAGAUCAUUUCCAUUAAUUUUGCCAGACAACGUCCCCAUAAUCCAGCUGACUUUAAGAAAGAAUGAGUCAUGGCUCCUGCAGUCUUUGUCUUGGAAAGAACUAGACUGUGAGUCAGGAAGCUUGCUGGGCUCCCCGGAAGAACUAGAAAGUAACCCCUGAAGACCUGUCUGUGUCUCCUGUCACAGACGCCAUAUAUAAAGGUGCCAUGGAGGACAGUGGGGACCAGUCAGGGGGUCAAACCAGCACACAUCCUCCCCUCCAAAUCUCUUCCUUGACUACACUUUCCCAAUAAUUAUUCUGUUUAAUCACGGCUA